UAUUCGUUCCAGCGGCGGCAACAGCAGUGGCGAUGGGGUAGCAUCCACGCCGUUCGGCUGCAAGGUGGUCGCUUUACUCUCUGCUGCCUGCGCUCAGUUGCUGCCGGCUCUCGGGCCUGACCCACCUGGGCUUCCGCAGCCUCUGCGAUCUGUCAUACUUCUUAGAAACUCAGUCGGAGCUGGUUUCCUUCGCUUGCAACAAAAACCAUAGCUGCUACAUUGUUGCUUUUAAAACAGCCAUUUUUUUCUUAACAGUAGUGGAAGAAUUCCACCGCCACCCUUCCCGCCAAGGGGAAUAUUACGGGAAACUUCACUGCGUAAUGCAGGGGGAACUGGAGCUGCGCUGGUAGAUGAAACUGAGGUUCAGAGAGGUUAAGCCAUUUUUCCAAAGUCACACAGUAAGUGAUGGUAUCUUUUAUUGAUAAAACCUAGAAUGUUUGGUUCUUCCACCCACAAUCUCUCAAAUUCUAGGGUAAGAGAAAUGGACCUUGGGUUCCAGAGAGAAAGCUGGGCCUUUUUGUCAUGUCACGAUCAUGUCAGCUCCUCACUUUCUACUGCCUCACCCUUGCUUGCUUAUUGGACAGACAGUGAUUUCUUUUUCCUUUUUUUAAAGAUUGACGCCUGAGCUAACAUCUGUUGCCAAUCUUCUCCUUUUUUUCAUCUCCUCCCCAGAGCACCCCAGUACAGAGUUGUACAUUCUAGUUGUAGGUCCUUCUGGUUGUGGCAUGUGGGAUGUCGCCUCAACAUGGCUUGAUGAGCGGUGCCACGUCCAAGCCCAAGAUCUGAACCGGCGAAACCCAGGCCGCCGAAGCGGAGCAUGUGAACCCAACCACUCAGCCACGGGGCCGGCCCUGACAGUGAUGUUUUUAAUUUCAGAGACUCCAAGUGGUCUGCAGGGAAGCCGUGGGUUGAGUGGGGGCUGGAAGAGAAGAGAAAGGUGUGGAUUUAAAAGAAAAAACUCUCUCUGAAUGCCCAGAACUUUUCUGAGUACCUGUCCCCUUAAUUUCCUGCACAUUUGUGGCUUUGGGAAAAAGCAGUCCCAGUGUAGCCAGUCUGGGCCAGAGAGACCUUCCGAGGAGCCUGGGGGAGUUGGAGGGGCAGGGAUGGUGAAGUCUUCCGCGCGUGUCCCUGUGAGGAGAUUCUGUACGGACACUGACGCUCUGCCUCGUGUAGUAGGAGAGUCAGCAGGUCAUGGGGCAAGAACAUGGACUUUGGAACCCAUUAGGAGCCAAGUUCAAAUCUCAGCUUUCCCACUUAAAAGCUGGGCGACCUUGGGCAAGUUACUUAACUUUCUUGAGUCUGUUUCCUCUUCCACAGAAAGAGGGUCUUUAUCUCCCUUGCAAGGUUGUUGUGAAGAUAGAGCUAUUGUUGAGAAGCUGAAACACUGAUUUGGCUUGUAUUGUGUGCUGCGAGUGCUAACAUUAACAAUGCGAAUGGUUUCUGUUGUCAUGGGACUUAUGAUUUUGAGGGAGACAGACCAAAAAAAGACAAUUAUAAUA
rnacentral:lncRNA from 1 species